UGGGGAAUAUUGCACAAUUGGCGGAAGCCUGAUGCAGCGACGCCGCGUGAGGGAUGACGGCCUUCGGGUUGUAAACCUCUUUCAGUAGGGACGAAGCGUAAGUGACGGUACCUGCGGAAGAAGCACCGGCUAACUACGUGCCAGCAGCCGCGGUAAUACGUAGGGGGCGAGCGUUGUCCGGAAUUACUGGGCGUAAAGGGUUCGCAGGCGGCAUGGCAAGUCCGAUGUAAAAGGCGAAGGCUCAACCUUCGUAAGCAUCGGAAACUGUCAAGCUUGAGUGAAGGAGAGGCAAGUGGAAUUCCUAGUGUAGCGGUGGAAUGCGUAGAUAUUAGGAGGAAUACCGGUGGCGAAGGCGACUUGCUGGACUUCAACUGACGCUGAGGAACGAAAGCGUGGGUAGCAAACAGG
rnacentral:rRNA from 1 species